rnacentral:rRNA from 1 species
AUACGUAGGGUGCAAGCGUUAAUCGGAAUUACUGGGCGUAAAGCGUGCGCAGGCGGUUUUGUAAGUCUGACGUGAAAGCCCCGGGCUCAACCUGGGAAUUGCGUUGGAGACUGCAAGGCUUGAAUCUGGCAGAGGGGGGUAGAAUUCCACGUGUAGCAGUGAAAUGCGUAGAGAUGUGGAGGAACACCGAUGGCGAAGGCAGCCCCCUGGGUCAAGAUUGACGCUCAUGCACGAAAGCGUGGGGAGCAAACA